UACGUAGGGUGCAAGCGUUAAUCGGAAUUACUGGGCGUAAAGCGUGCGCAGGCGGUUUUGUAAGUCAGAUGUGAAAUCCCCGGGCUUAACCUGGGAACUGCGUUUGAAACUACAAGGCUAGAGUGUGGCAGAGGGGGGGUGGAAUUCCACGUGUAGCAGUGAAAUGCGUAGAGAUCGGGAGGAACACCCGUGGCGAAGGCGGCCACCUGGGCCGACCCUGACGCUGAGGCGCGAAGGCGUGGGGAGCGAACGGG
rnacentral:rRNA from 1 species